rnacentral:rRNA from 1 species
UACGGAGGAUGCGAGCGUUAUCCGGAUUUAUUGGGUUUAAAGGGUGCGUAGGCGGCAUUAUAAGUUAGUGGUAAAAUAUUGGGGCUUCACCUCACUACGCCAUUAAUACUGUAGAGCUAGAGAACAGACGAGGUAGGCGGAAUAAGUUAAGUAGCGGUGAAAUGCAUAGAUAUUAGGAGGAACACCAGUGGCGAAGGCGGCUUACUGGACUGUAACUGACGUUGAGGCUCGAAAGCGUGGGGAGCAAACAGG